rnacentral:rRNA from 1 species
CACGCAGGCGGUCUGUUAAGUCAGAUGUGAAAUUCCAGGGCUUAACCUUGGGGCUGCAUUUGAUACGUGUAGACUAGAGUGUGAGAGAGGGUUGUGGAAUUCCCAGUGUAGAGGUGAAAUUCGUAGAUAUUGGGAAGAACACCGGUGGCGAAGGCGGCAACCUGGCUCAUUACUGACGCUGAGGCGCGAAAGCGUGGGGAGCAAACAGGAUUAGAUACCCCCGUA